rnacentral:rRNA from 1 species
GACGAACGCUGGCGGCGUGCUUAACACAUGCAAGUCGAACGAUGAAGCCGGAGCUUGCUCUGGUGAAUUAGUGGCGAACGGGUGAGUAACACGUGAGUAACCUGCCCUUGACUCUGGGAUAACUGCUAGAAAUGGUAGCUAAUACCGGAUACGACCCUCGGAGGCAUCUCCAGGGGGUGGAAAGAAUUUCGGUCAAGGAUGGACUCGCGGCCUAUCAGCUAGUUGGUGAGGUAAUGGCUCACCAAGGCGACGACGGGUAGCCGGCCUGAGAGGGUGACCGGCCACACUGGGACUGAGACACGGCCCAGACUCCUACGGGAGGCAGCAGUGGGGAAUAUUGCACAAUGGGCGCAAGCCUGAUGCAGCAACGCCGCGUGAGGGAUGACGGCCUUCGGGUUGUAAACCUCUUUUAGUAGGGAAGAAGCGCAAGCGACGGUACCUGCAGAAAAAGCACCGGCUAACUACGUGCCAGCCGCCGCCGUAA